rnacentral:lncRNA from 1 species
CAGGGAUCCUUUAUGUGGAUAAAUUAAGAUUUAAAACAGGUGACCUAGAGAUGUUGCAUGUGAUUAGCUGAUACACUUUACCCUUGCUCCUACGAAAACAGCCGUGAGCUUCACAGGGACGACUCUUUCCUAGGGCAUUUGAUUCUGAAGUGGCCUGAAGGAGGUAGUGGAAGUGUGGGCUUGUGAGGCGAUUAUUUCAGUGGCUGAAUUAAACCAGACUCUUUUCAGAAGAAUUCAAAACGAACAUGGCUAAACAUGCAAAAUAAACACAGGAUCUUCAGACAUAACGACGUCUAGCUUUGAAGCAUGGUUUGAAGAUUUUCAUGAGGCCUUCCUUUCUACGUAUUCAAAUGCAAUACUACAACUCCAAGAUCAAUAGCAUAUUUGGCUAUCAAACCAGUCUUGCGAUAAACAGGAUUUCAGGGUCCAUCUGAAAUAGUCCUCCCCACUCUGCCUUUCAAAGUAUUACAUGCUGACCUUCAAAGUCACAUGAUUUCCAAAUGCGACCAAAUCAUGAUUUUGAAAAUAAAGCAAUAUGAUGCCUUCGCCGGGCUAUCAUGGAGAAAGGCAAGGAAAAUUGUCCCCGUAGAAGAGUAUGUAUCCCACCGUAUUGAGAAGUAGGCGUGAAAACACAAGCAUACAUGAGGACAUACAUGUCCUUGAGGACAUACAUGGUGCCUCCUUAGAUGCACAGGCCUGAGAUUAGGAGGAGAUCAGAAGAUAUUACUAAGGGAGAACGUGUGGUGGGAGGAGUACAACGCAGAAGGCACUCGUAACAACUAGCAUUAAGAUAAGGACCGCCAGGUGGUGGUAAGAGGGGAA